UUUAAAAAAAUUGAGGAAAUUUUUAUUGACAUCUGAAGAAUUUCACUGAUAAAUAAGGGAACUAGUAAACAUAAAAUUUGAGAAGAAUUUCAAUUUUUACAGAACAACAAUAACACAUUAUCACUAGACAGUCUUUUGUCACUUAGAUCAAACUUAAGCUUUCUUAUAUGAAUGAAACAGGUGUGUCAAUAACAUUAUCAACAUUACGACAGAUACAAGUCAGUAUACUACUAUUAUAGCUAAGAACUCACACAGUUGCAAAUAAUUUACAUUGCAAGUAUUUCUGUCCAAAACGUUGUUUAUUAGAAACAAACUG